GAAAAGAGAAAGAGAAGUACACGGACAAGCGGUUGCCGAGUGACUGAACGUGGCUGCGGGUGACUGGGACGCGCGGGGCUGCGAGUUACGACGGCGGGAGAAGCCAGUCGGCGAGUGGGGAUGCAGAGGGGGAGAUGCGGAGAGGAAGUUGCCAAUGGUAGGGGAAGAUCGGAACGGACUGGCGGACCGAGCCGUCAGUCAGUCGUGCUUCGUCGUGGGGAUGAGAUCGCAACGAGAAAUGACGUUGUACGAUCCAACAUUCGCGCGUCGACGGUGACAUGAUAUAAAGACUGCACGCGGUUUGUUCUACAUACACGUUACACGUGUCACGAUCGUGGAUUCAGUUCCGUUUUGUGGCAACUAAUCGUGGAUCAUUCCCGUUUGACGGUACGAGAGGCGUGUUUCCCAGGCUGUGCAACUGUGCGGUGCUAUCCCCGUUUCUCCAUCUUCCGCAUUCCUCGCUUCGAUUGGAGUAUCUCUCUGUGCACGACGAGACCGUAUAUCGACAUCGACGGUUCCACGACAUCGACGGUUCCACGACAACCACGGAGACCAAUAGCAUCAGCGGCACAGUCCCCGAUUCGAUUGAAGGAAAGCUACAGGAACACCAGCUGAAAUCAUCCGAAUUUGGUUAGUGACAGACGGAGGAUGAGUUAAGCGGUACACGAAGAAAAGAAAAGCAAAAGAGAGAGAAAGAGGGACAGAGAACCAAGCACGAGGCUACGUCAUCGACAAAUUUUCCUAGGCAUGCAACUAGCAGCGAGGAUGCAACGGUCGAUGACGUGAAUCGACCGACUUUUCGGUCGAUAACUGCCUGCCACGUCUGAAUGGCUAGCCAACCAUUUGGCUACUGCUGUCGGAGGACUGUCUCGCCAUCGUAUGGAGACCGGAUGGCCGGUGUCUAAGUGCGUUUCCUCCGCGUGGUUCACCGUACGAUAAUCUCGUCUGUAACUGAUACAUUUCUAGAUAUUCCAUUUCCAUCGUCUCAUUCCCAAAUGCUGUUCGUUUACGGCUGAAAUCGUUUCGUCUUCUCUACGAAGUUUCUUCGUAUUCCACUCAUCCAUCAUCGAGUUCGAGUAAAAGAGAGAAAGAGAAAAAGAUAGAUUGGAGAGAGGGAGAGCACAUUGGAGUCCCACGUUGGAGUUUCGCGAGAUAGAAGAAGCGAGAAGCGGAUAGGAACGCGGGAACGGGGGAACGAGCGGCAACGUUUGGAAUAGCAGUUUGUCGAAGGUCGCUGCCGAUCCACGUAAUCAAAAAGUUUCGAACAGAGAGGGGGAAUAGAAAAAGGCUAGUUCGGAUAAUCUCGAAGCGGAGAGGGAAACGAAGUGAAUGGUGGGUUUGUUUUUGUUUGUUAAUCGUACAUCGAAGGUAAGUGGGCACAUACUACGGAGGUUGUGUCCGCGUUCGCGAGGCGGAUGAGGACAAAGUGGACGAUAAACGCGGAACUCACCGAUUCUAUAUACGUCGCCCUUGAUUCAGAGGACAGCCACGUGUACCGUACACCUUCACGAUCAUCGGUAUCACAAGAAUCACGUUGAUUUCCCCACUAACAGCCACAUGACUUGACGAUCGCCCCACCUACCGCUGUUCGUCGUUGAGCGAAAGCGGCGACAGUGGCAGCAACGUCACCGACG
rnacentral:misc_RNA from 1 species